GACGAACGCUGGCGGCGUGCUUAAUACAUGCAAGUCGAGCGAGGCCCAUCCAGUGGCAACACUGGGGAAGGCCGAGCGGCGAACGGGUGAGUAACACGUGAGCAACCUGCCCCGAACGUACUGGAAGUAAACAUCGGGAAACCCGGGUAGCUAAUAACCGGACUUGUCCCCCACCCUGACCGCCAUGAUCGGGUGAGGAAAGAUCUAUCGCUUCGGGAGGGGCUCGCGGCCUAUCAGCAGUUGGCGGGGUAACGGCCCACCAAGGCGUCGACGGGUAGCUGGUCUGAGAGGACGACCAGCCACACUGGGACUGAGACACGGCCCAGACU
rnacentral:rRNA from 1 species